rnacentral:lncRNA from 1 species
UGUCUUUAAACUCUCCAUUUUUGUCUCUUCUCUCAUUCUCAAAUCCUAGAUGACAAUCUUUUUUCUUCUUGUCUAUCCAAUAGGGGUGAUUUAGAGUUAAUCUUACCUAGAAUCGCUCCUUCGAGUUGUUUUUUUUCCUUAUAUCAUAAUUAAAUAAGUGAUUUUCACAUAUUUUUAGUUUUCUUUCGUUUGUUUUUGUGAUUUCGUCGUGACUCUGUUUAUUUUGAUUUCCCGACUUUGUGCGGUGUGUUUUUUAUUUCCUGUCUUAAUGCGGUAUUUAUUUGAUUCAUGUUGAAAUAUUAGCUUUGAGCAAGUGCAGAUCCAAUCAAUGACUUUUGCAUUGUCAACAUUGCAGAUCUGAAGACCUAAGUAUUUCGGAGACUUGAAUAUAGUCAUAUUUGUAAGCAUAUGUACUUUGCCGUUUUAUGCUAUUAACAUGGAUGAUGUGAGUUUGUUCACAUUAUUUUUGGCGACUUUGAAUUUGAAUUGUAUCGAUAUACUCCAUCAAUUUAAAUAAAUGAACAUUGUUUAUUGU